rnacentral:rRNA from 1 species
UACGUAGGGGGCAAGCGUUGUCCGGAUUUAUUGGGCGUAAAGAGCGUGUAGGCGGUUUGGUAGGUCCGCUGUGAAAACUCGAGGCUCAACCUCGAGACGCCGGUGGAAACCAUCAGGCUAGAGUCCGGAAGAGGAGAGUGGAAUUCCUGGUGUAGCGGUGAAAUGCGCAGAUAUCAGGAGGAACACCGGUGGCGAAGGCGGUUCUCUGGGCAUGAUCUGACGCUGAGGAGCGAAAGUGUGGGGAGCGAACAGG